UACGGAGGAUGCAAGCGUUAUCCGGAUUCAUUGGGUUUAAAGGGUGCGCAGGCGGAAUGAUAAGUCAGUGGUGAAAUCCUACAGCUUAACUGUAGAACUGCCAUUGAUACUAUUGUUCUUGAGUACAUUUGAAGUGGGCGGAAUGUGUCAUGUAGCGGUGAAAUGCUUAGAUAUGACACAGAACACCGAUCGCGAAGGCAGCUCACUAAGUUGUAACUGACGCUCAUGCACGAAAGCGUGGGGAU
rnacentral:rRNA from 1 species